rnacentral:rRNA from 1 species
UACGUAGGCAGCAAGCGUUGUUCGGAGUUACUGGGCGUAAAGAGUGCGUAGGCGGCGCGGUAAGUCGGGUGUGAAAUCUCGGGGCUUAACUCCGAAACUGCAUUCGAUACUGCCGUGCUUGAGGACUGGAGAGGAGACUGGAAUUUACGGUGUAGCGGUGAAAUGCGUAGAUAUCGUAAGGAAGACCAGUGGCGAAGGCGGGUCUCUGGACAGUUCCUGACGCUGAGGCACGAAGGCCAGGGGAGCAAACGGG